UACAGAGACUGCAAGCGUUAUUCGGAUUCACUGGGCGUAAAGGGUGCGCAGGCGGCCAAGUGUGUUAGGCGUGAAAGCCUGGGGCUUAACCCCAGAAUUGCACCUAAAACUACAUGGCUAGAGCAUUGGAGAGGGUAGCGGAAUUCACGGUGUAGCAGUGAAAUGCGUAGAUAUCGUGAGGAACACCAAUGGCGAAGGCAGCUCUCUGGGACGGUACUGACGCUGAGACGCGAAAGCGUGGGGAGCGAACAGG
rnacentral:rRNA from 1 species